CGGGGGAGGGGCGGGUCCUCGGAAGCCCCUUCUGCGCGGCGCCCAAUGACACCCUUGGCAGACACGCCCGGUGGUGGGGGAUCCGGGGUGGUCCACGCCCUCCACGCGCUCCAUCUCCAGCAGGUCCCACCCCACGCGCCCGCGGGGCCCGCUCCAGAGGCUCCUCCAAGGCCGCUGCAGAGGCGCGGCCAGGCUCCCAUUUCUGCGCAUCCCUGGCGCUCAGACACGGCCUGAGCCGGGUACCCGGCGACUCCCUUCGGCCUCCACCGCCUCCUGGGGAGGGACCGCGCGCUGCUCCCACGCGGGCCCGGGGGUCUCCGCAGCCCUGGCCUGGGUGCGUCCGUCGGGCUGCUCGGCUCGGAGCGACUCGUGUUGUUGUUGCGUGGGUUUUUUCUCUAAUUCUCCGGAGUUACUCUUUUGUUGCCAAUU
rnacentral:lncRNA from 1 species